rnacentral:ncRNA from 1 species
UCUGUGGUGACGCGGAAUCUGAAGGAAGCCCUAGGCAAAUCCUUGGUCUGAGGUAUACGAAUCACAUUAGAGGUUUUCAUUUCAGGAUGAGUUUGCUAAACAAAACGAAGUCCUAAAUAUCCCCGGAUGAAAUGAGAAUAAAUGUGGCAGAUAGAUGAGGAGAAAGCGAGUGAA